AUUGAACGCUGGCGGCAGGCUUAACACAUGCAAGUCGAGCGGUAACAGAGAGAAGCUUGCUUCUCUGCUGACGAGCGGCGGACGGGUGAGUAAUGCCUAUGAAUCUGCUUAGUAGUGGGGGAUAACUUGCCGAAAGGUAAGCUAAUACCGCAUACGUCCUACGGGAGAAAGGAGGGGACCUUCGGGCCUUUCGCUAUUAGAUGAGCCUAGGUGGGAUUAGUUAGUUGGUGAGGGAAUGGCUCACCAAGACCGCGAUCCGUAACUGGUCUGAGAGGAUGAUCAGUCACACUGGAACUGAGACACGGUCCAGACUCCUACGGGAGGAAGCAGUGGGGAAUAUUGGACAAUGGGGGGAACCCUGAUCCAGCCAUGCCGCGUGUGUGAAGAAGGUCUUAGGAUUGUAAAGCACUUUAAGUUGGGAGGAAGAGCAGUUAACUAAUAUUUGACUGUUUUGACGUUACCGAAAGAAUAAGCACCGGCUAACUUCGUGCCAGCCGCCGCGGUAA
rnacentral:rRNA from 1 species